rnacentral:rRNA from 1 species
CUACGGGUGGCUCCAGUGAGGAAUAUUGCACAAUGGGGGGAACCCUGAUGCAGCAACGCCGCGUGGAUGAUGACGCAUUUCGGUGUGUAAACUCCUUUUAUAUGUCAAGAAAAUGACGGUAGCAUAUGAAUAAGCACCGGCUAACUCCGUGCCAGCAGCCGCGGUAAUACGGAGGGUGCAAGCGUUACUCGGAAUCACUGGGCGUAAAGGACGCGUAGGCGGGUUGGAAAGUCAGGUGUGAAAUCCUACAGCUUAACUGUAGAACUGCACUUGAAACUUCUAAUCUAGAGUAUGGGAGGGGGAGAUGGAAUUCGUGGUGUAGGGGUAAAAUCCGUAGAUAUCACUAGGAAUACCAAAAGCGAAGGCGAUCUCCUGGAACAUUACUGACGCUAAGGCGUGAAAGCGUGGGGAGCAAACAGGAUUAGAUACCCCCGUAGUC